CUUUGCAGAUCUUCUUGGAUUUUCAGAACCUAAGCAGGGUUGGGGCUGGUUAGUACUUAGAUGGGAGACCAACAGGGAGUACUGGGGCAGCACCAGGC
rnacentral:rRNA from 1 species